GGGAGAGGGGCGGGGAAGGAUUGGCAGAGGGAUUCUAUCAUUUCGAACUGUGCAUCUACCUAUCCUUCUUCUUCUUUCUC
rnacentral:pre_miRNA from 1 species